GAGCAAUCUGCCUUGGAGUGGGGAAUAACGGUUGGAAACAGCCGCUAAUACCGCAUGAUGCAAUUGGGAGGCAUCUCUCUGAUUGCCAAAGAUUUAUCGCUCUAAGAUGAGCUCGCGUCUGAUUAGCUAGUUGGCGGGGUAACGGCCCACCAAGGCGACGAUCAGUAGCCGGACUGAGAGGUUGGCCGGCCACAUUGGGACUGAGACACGGCCCAGACUCCUACGGGAGGCAGCAGUGGGGAAUAUUGGGCAAUGGGCGCAAGCCUGACCCAGCAACGCCGCGUGAAGGAAGAAGGCUUUCGGGUUGUAAACUUCUUUUCUUGGGGACGAAUAAAUGACGGUACCCAAGGAAUAAGCCACGGCUAACUACGUG
rnacentral:rRNA from 1 species